UCCGAGUUGACCCCGGCAGUCUCCUACGAGUCCCCGCCAUAACGCGCUGGCAACAUAGGACAAGGGUUGCGCUCGUUGCGGGACUUAACCCAACAUCUCACGACACGAGCUGACGACAACCAUGCACCACCUGUGUACCGCCCCGAAGGACACCGUAUCUCUACGGCUUUUCCCUACAUGUCAAGCCCAGGUAAGGUGGGGAUGACGUUUCUAGGAGGGUG
rnacentral:misc_RNA from 1 species